rnacentral:rRNA from 1 species
UACGUAGGUGGCAAGCGUUGUCCGGAUUUACUGGGCGUAAAGAGCGCGCAGGCGGUCGUCCAAGUCGCGUGUGAAAGCCCCCGGCUCAACUGGGGAGGGUCACGCGAUACUGGUCGACUCGAAGGCAGGAGAGGGUAGUGGAAUUGACGGUGUAGCGGUGAAAUGCUUAGAUAUCGUCAAGAACACCUAUUGCGAAGGCAGCUAACUAAGCUUUAACUGACGCUGAGGCACGAAAGUGUGGGGAUCAAACAGG